rnacentral:rRNA from 1 species
UACCUGGUUGAUCCUGCCAGUAGUCAUAGGCUUGUCUAAAA